UCUAUUAUUCUUCUUAAAUUUAUUGUCAAAUGGAAUGUUUAAAAUUUGGAUAUCUAGAACUAGAUGCAUUGUUCUUUCAUGGAUUACCAUCGUUAAAUGACUGGAAUAUUGAAAUAUGAGCAGUAGGCACCUGUCCAUCACAUGCAAAGUUUUCAAAUCACAUUGUUCUUUCAGCAGAGUUUAAUGAUUACCAACAGUUUUCAGAUGAUGUGAGAAUAAAG
rnacentral:misc_RNA from 1 species